AUUCAAACAGUGGUCCGCAUACAAUCACCAAUGUUAAGCAAUGUUGAACCUGGUUAGUACCUUGAUGGGUGACCUCUUGGGAAUACCAGGUGCU